GCAAUGUCCAAAGAUCCAGUCCAGUUACAAUGAAAUGAUCUGCCAUGGGAUCCAGCAGUGCAGUCUCUUCUCCUCUUCAUUUCUAAAUCUCAAAAGCAUUUUCUUCAGCACUAAGGCAUUAAAUCAACAAUCUCCACCAAAAUGAUGAAUUACUUCGUUGACUUGCUUGGAUUCCCGCUUUAAGCCUCCCCACAAACCUCUCCAAGCCAUCAGACAGCAUCAGUGGCACAGGAAAGGUGACAGAGGUGAGUGAACAUAAGAUAUUAUCAAAACGUGGUUCAGAAGGCAUGCUGGGCUCCUGGUGCCUGCGUAAUACCUUGGAAAUUACAUCCAAAGGAAAUUUAAAAAACAAGAAGAAAAAGAAAAAAGCCUGCUAUUCCUUUGCUGCUUCAAAGCAUAUUUUUCAACAAAGUAAAGGCAGGUUUUUGCCUGAACUUAUUAGUAAUUCUGUACCGGAUAUGCUUCAAGAUCCUUUAUCUAAGACUGCAGAACAUUUUGCUUUAAAACCCUGGUUGGAAAUGUUAAUGAAUCCCUGCAAGCAGGUUGAAACUCACAUCAGAAGUCCCAUGAUCCUGUGGAUAUUGGAAGAUCAGGAAAAGUAUUUCAGAAGCCUAUAA
rnacentral:lncRNA from 1 species